CACAUACUCCUACGGGAGGCAGCAGUGGGGAAUAUUGCACAAUGGGCGCAAGCCUGAUGCAGCAAACGCCGCGUGAGGGAUGACGGCUUUCGGGGUUGUAAACCUCUUUUAGCAGGGAAGAAGCGAAAGUGACGGUACCUGCAGAAAAAGCGCCGGCUAACUACGUGCCAGCAGCCGCGGUUAAUACGUAGGGCGCAAGCGUUAUCCGGAAUUAUUGGGCGUAAAGAGCUCGUAGGCGGUUUGUCGCGUCUGCUGUGAAAUCCGGAGGCUCAACCUCCGGCCUGCAGUGGGUACGGGCAGACUAGAGUGCGGUAGGGGAGAUUGGAAUUCCUGGUGUAGCGGUGGAAUGCGCAGAUAUCAGGAGGAACACCGAUGGCGAAGGCAGAUCUCUGGGCCGUAACUGACGCUGAGGAGCGAAAGGGUGGGGAGCAAACAGGCUUAGAUACCCUGGUAGUCCACCCCGUAAACGUUGGGAACUAGUUGUGGGGUCCAUUCCACGGAUUCCGUGACGCAGCUAACGCAUUAAGUUCCCCGCCUGGGGAGUACGGCCGCAAGGCUAAAACUCAAAGGAAUUGACGGGGACCCGCACAAGCGGCGGAGCAUGCGGAUUAAUUCGAUGCAACGCGAAGAACCUUACCAAGGCUUGACAUAUACGAGAACGGGCCAGAAAAUGGCAAUUUCUUAAG
rnacentral:rRNA from 1 species